UACGAAGGGGGCUAGCGUUGCUCGGAAUCACUGGGCGUAAAGCGCACGUAGGCGGAUUGUUAAGUCAGGGGUGAAAUCCUGGAGCUCAACUCCAGAACUGCCUUUGAUACUGAAGAUCUUGAGUUCGGGAGAGGUGAGUGGAACUGCGAGUGUAGAGGUGAAAUUCGUAGAUAUUCGCAAGAACACCAGUGGCGAAGGCGGCUCACUGGCCCGAUACUGACGCUGAGGUGCGAAAGCGUGGGGAGCGAACAGG
rnacentral:rRNA from 1 species